AGAGUUUGAUCAUGGCUCAGAUUGAACGCUGGCGGCAUGCCUAACACAUGCAAGUCGAACGGCAGCACAGUCGUAGCAAUACGAUGGGUGGCGAGUGGCGGACGGGUGAGGAAUGCAUCGGAAUCUGCCCCGUUGUGGGGGAUAACGUAGGGAAACUUACGCUAAUACCGCAUGAGACGGAGACGUGAAAGCGGGGGACCGAAAGGCCUCGCGCGAUGGGAUGAGCCGAUGCCGGAUUAGCUAGUUGGUAGGGUAAAGGCCUACCAAGGCGACGAUCCGUAGCUGGUCUGAGAGGACGAUCAGCCACACUGGGACUGAGACACGGCCCAGACUCCUACGGGAGGCAGCAGUGGGGAAUAUUGGACAAUGGGGGCAACCCUGAUCCAGCAAUGCCGCGUGUGUGAAGAAGGCCUUCGGGUUGUAAAGCACUUUUGUUCGGAACGAAAAGCGGAAGGUUAAUAACCGUCCGUGCUGACGGUACCGGACGAAUAAGCACCGGCUAACUUCGUGCCAGCAGCCGCGGUAAUACGAAGGGUGCAAGCGUUAAUCGGAAUUACUGGGCGUAAAGCGUGCGUAGGCGGUUUCUUAAGUCUGCUGUGAAAGCCCUGGGCUCAACCUGGGAAUGGCGGUGGAUACUGAGAAGCUGGAGUACGGUAGAGGAAGGUGGAAUUCCCGGUGUAGCGGUGAAAUGCGUAGAGAUCGGGAGGAACAUCAGUGGCGAAGGCGGCCUUCUGGACCAGUACUGACGCUGAGGCACGAAAGCGUGGGGAGCAAACAGGAUUAGAUACCCUAGUAGUCC
rnacentral:rRNA from 1 species